AAGAUCAAUAACCAGGCACCCACCACACUCUUAUGACCACUGACCAACACAGUUUAAACUUCUACUAUAUUUUUACCGUAAGGGACCACAUAACUUUAGAAUUCUAUCUUUCUACCUUUUGUAUCAGGGAAAACCUAUCUAACUGGGGUUCCACUCUCCCGAAAGGAACAGAGCUAACCAGCAGUCCCAAACCCGUAGUAUUGGGGUUUCUAACCGCUGGUUAGAAGAGAUAUUCCCCCAAUGUUCUUCUAUCUGGGUAAGGGCUAAGCAAUUUAAUUGCACUGUUAACUUUCUAUACCUAAACAUUGUACCUCAGCGGGGAAACCUCGCUGUUACUUAUAAACUGUGAUUUAUCUCCCGAAACCUCUUGUAAUUCCAAAAGUUUAAUGUUCCAUGGCCCCUCUCUAUAACUUACCAUUGUAAACCAAUGGCUCUAUUAUUAAAUUCAAAUUUGUACUUUUACAGGCCUAUAAAUUAUAAAUAUUUAUAAGAAAAAGAUUCUCGGCAAAUCUGCCCUUUGCCUGUUUACCAAAUACAUCUCCUGGGCCUUCACCUCAGGUAGGCACUGCCCAAUGAUAGUUCAAUGGCCGCGGUACUUUGACCGUGCGAAGGUAGCACAAUCGCUUGCUUUUUAAAUGGAAGCCAGAAUGAAAGUGUUGACAAAGGGCAACUGACUCCUUCUCUCUAUUAAACUUAAGCCUAAGGUAACAACGCCUUAAAAACCUAGAAGGACGACAAGACCCUAUAAAACUUCAUUGGUAAAGACGCAAAAAUUAGAACCUCUAAUCAGAUCUCAACCAAUUCAGCUGGGGCGGCUAACUUUUUACAAACAAGGGGCUACAAAACACCUUGAGUGAACCUUCUGAACGCACAAGCAAAUAGUUCAAGUUACUUUAGGGAUAACAGCACAAUCUUUCCGGAGAGCCCCCAUUGAUGGAAAGGCUUAUGACCUCGAUGUUGAAUUGGAAUCCCUCUUUGCGGCAGCCCGCAACAAAGGAAGUCUGUUCGACUUUUUAUUUUCCACAUGAUGUGAGUUCAGACCGGCGUGAGCCAGGUUAGAUUCUAUCCUCUAGACUAAGAUUUCUUAGGUUGUACGAAAGGACCCCUAAGGGUUAAUUAUUUUAGUUCCUUUUUACU
rnacentral:rRNA from 1 species